rnacentral:rRNA from 1 species
UACGUAGGGAGCGAGCGUUGUCCGGAAUUACUGGGUGUAAAGGGUGCGUAGGCGGGGGACCAAGUCAGGUGUGAAAACUAUCGGCUCAACCGAUAGCCUGCAUUUGAAACUGGUUCUCUUGAGUGAAGUAGAGGCAGGCGGAAUUCCCGGUGUAGCGGUGAAAUGCGUAGAGAUCGGGAGGAACACCAGUGGCGAAGGCGGUCUGCUGGGCUUUAACUGACGCUGAGGCACGAAAGCAUGGGUAGCAAACAGGAUUAGAUACC